AUGAUAAGCAAGCCAAUUCUUGUGCUCAGUUUUGGUACGGCGGCUGUGAUGGAAAUGAUAAUCGAUUUAAUACUGAAGAAGAAUGUAAAAAGACUUGUGUGUUUUUCACUGGAGAUAUCUAAAGGAUAUGAACAGAAAUGUCCACCAACUGGAAAUCAUCAGAAAAUAAUUGUUUAGCCAAAAGAGGGGCAAUUUUAUGCAUGUGUGGCCUUUGUAUGUAUAACAUAAUUGGUUAACAAGAGAAUAAUUUGCUGUCCUAAAACCACUUAUUUUAGUAUAACUCUACUAAAGUCAACGGGAUCAUCUAUAACCCCUUGCUGAAACUGAAAGAUUGUGUGCAAUGUUAGGAGAUGUACUGGGGGAGGGUCUCACAUACUUUGUUGGGGUCUAAACUAAGAGGGCAUGCUUUUUACAUUGUAAAUCAAAACAGAAGGCAUGGGUCAUAUAAGCCUUCACAGCAGAGGAAAGAUCCUUUGACCAUUCUUGUGGGCCAAUAGAUAUUGUUGGAUAGAUACUGUUGGAGUUUUUGCAGUUUUGCAUGCUGCCUGCAGUUUGUUUGAGAGAGAUCUUUCUAGCCUGUGGUGAUUGUUGAUCUAUCCAACACUAGCCAAUCAUUCUCUCCUUUCUCAGAAUUCAAAGAAAGCCGCUUUGCUGUACUAAGAGUUCUUAUUCCUCAAAGAGUGUUAAUGCCUUUGAUGUUGGUUAGUAAAGUUUUCUGUAAGUCUAUUGAAACAGAGUUGUUAAAUGCAGUCAUGUUUGUUAGUUUUUUUGUUGAUAUAGUCACAAUUGUCAGUAAAUGAAAUUUUUAUUCUUUAUAUUACUAAUGUCUCAAAGUAAGUUGUUGAGACUGUAAGUGCCAGUUAAUGAGAGAGGGGUGGACUAUGUGAAAAACUGUAGCUAUUCUCUCUAAAUUGAUGCACUUCUGCUAUGUAUCUGAGUUAAACAACAUUUCAAAACUUUGUGUGAUACUGCAGCUCUUGUUUAUUGAAUGUGUUAAUUUUGAAACAUGCCUAGUUAAAAUCAAUUUACAGUGGUGCCUCACAUAGCGAUCGCUCCGUAUAGCAACGAAAUCGCUCAGCGACGCUGUUUUUGCGAUCGCAAAAACGAUCGCUUUGCGAUGUUCCCUAUGGGGAUAUUUCGCAUUGCGAUGAUCGCAGGGAAGCGAUCAUCGCAAAGCCCCCAUUUUCACCAAGCUGAUCAUGCGGUUUCAAAAUGGCCACCGGGUAAACAAAAUGGCCGCCCGCUGUUUUCAGGCACGGACGCCUCACUUUAGACGCACCAAAAAUGGCGGCUAUGGAGGAUCUUCACUUAAAGAUGAGUUUUAAGCCCAUAGGAACGAAUUAAUUGCGUUUUAAUGCGUUUCUAUGGGUUUUUUAUUUUUGCUUAGUGAUGUUAUUACUUAACAGUGAUUUUUUCUGCACAAAUUAACAUCGCUAAGCGAGGCACCACUGUACAGUGUUCCCAGAGCAGUGUGGGGUAGAGCUGGAGAUGGGGAGUUAGUUAUUAAAUAUAGGACCUAGUAAAUAUCUAAUGAAGUAAAAAAAUACUUCAAAAACUUAUUCCUAGAAGUUUAGGUUCUGGAUGAUUAGGGAGAAUUAAGAAGGUUAUAUAGCAAGGACUGCCAUCUGUGUCUGCAUUUGCAAGCUAAUGUUACUCAGGGAUAGAUAUUAGAUAUUUUAGACCAUAGAAAUGAGAUAGUGUUGACACAUAGGCUGUAAUCUUAUGCACACUUAGCUGGAAUAAGCCACAGGGGACACAAUGAAAGUUCUUUCUUAAUUAUGAAGUCUUGCAUAUAAUCUGACUGCAUGAUUUAAUCCAAAACAUAUAUUUGACACUAGCAAAUCACUUUUUGGCUCACCUGUUACCUUGGAAACUGAUUACUGCAUAACUUUGGGCAAAAAUAAUUUCUUUUUGCUGGUAUUUGAUUCCAUACUUCUGCAAUUAUGCCACCUGUUUUACUGAAGUAGAUAUUUUCCUUAUCUAAGGAUUACUGUUUUUCUAUAGGUUUACCAUAAUUUCUUUUCAAUAUUUGGCAAGCAGUAUGGGAUGAGACAUGAGUACAGGAAGCUAAUAUAGACAUUUUGUCAAAGACAGUAAAAUGGGAGAAACUACAUGUUAGAGAUGUCAUAACUGCAUCGUAAGCAUAAUUUUCAGUGAUAUGUAACUGUGAUAGAAUUCUAACCAUAAGAUAAGAAAUAAUUUUUUUCACACCUGAUGGAGAAAAUAUAUAUUGAUUAUGAGGGUCAUGCCACAAUAAGAGUGAUUCAGAACAUAAAUACAGUAGUUAGGGCUUCCACCCCAUACAUUUUAUUUAGUCUCCCAUGUAUUUCUCAUAGACAUGAUUAAUAAUAUCCUUUGAACAAAGGAUUAGAAUUGUAGUACAGUGGGGUCUUGACUUGAGAACUUAAUCCGUAUUGGAAGGCGGUUCUCAAGUCAAAAAGUCUGUAAGUCAAGUCUCCAUUGACCUACAGUGCAUUGAAAACGAUUAAUCCCGGGUAACAGGCCGUUUUUGUUCCAUUUUGGUUUUUUUCUGGUCUGUAAGUCAAAUCUCAGUCUGCAAGUCAAACCUAAAUUUUGCGGCCAGAGAAGUCUGUAACUCAAAAAGUCUGUAAGUCAAGCCGUCUGUAAGUCAAGGGUCCACUGUACAAUACAAAUGGAAUCUACUAUAAAUAUCAUGGUAGGAACAGAACAUUAGGUCACAGCUGGAAAUUAGGUGAAUUCUGAAAAAAAAGUUUAUUUUUAAAAACUAGAUUGAAGCUUUGUAGUUUUGUUUAAAAAAAACAGUCACAGGGUUGGUUUUCCUUUCUGUGCAGACAAUGGCAUCUGAUAAGAUGAAAUAUCUUGCUUUCAGGGUGUUGAUAUAUGUGCAGAAGGCUUUACUUAAUCAACUUUGUCACUGAACAUUAAUAUUGAAAAGUCAAUAGCAAAGAGUAAUUAUUUGCAAUUACCUGAAGGUUCCUGAAAUAAACAGUGUAUUAAUACAAGUGGUUUAGGCA
ensembl:lncRNA